AAGCGUCGUAAGUUGAAUUUCGGGAUUGACGUGACGGUCGUGCCUUACGGGGUAUGAACUGUCGCCGUUGAUUUCUCACCUUCUGGAGAAGCUCGAUGUCCUUAAUUGGGUGUCUUGCGGAACCAGGACCUUUACCUUGAAAAAAAUUAGAGUGUUUAAAGCAGGCAUUUUGCUCGAAUACAUUAGCAUGGAAUAAUAGAAUAGGACGGCAUGGUUCUAUUUUGUUGGUUUCUAGGAUCACCGUAAUGAUUAAUAGGGAUAGUUGGG
rnacentral:rRNA from 1 species